AACGAACGCUGGCGGCAUGCCUAACACAUGCAAGUCGAACGAGACCUUCGGGUCUAGUGGCGCACGGGUGCGUAACGCGUGGGAACCUGCCCUUAGGUUCGGAAUAACUCCCCGAAAGGGGUGCUAAUACCGGAUAAUGUCUUCGGACCAAAGCUUUAUCGCCUUUGGAUGGGCCCGCGUUGGAUUAGCUAGUUGGUAGGGUAAAAGCCUACCAAGGCGACGAUCCAUAGCUGGUUUGAGAGGAUGAUCAGCCACACUGGGACUGAGACACGGCCCAGACUCCUGCGAGAGGCAGCAGUGGGGAAUAUUGGACAAUGGGCGAGAGCCUGAUCCAGCAAGGCCGCGUGAGUGAUGAAGGCCUUAGGGUUGUAAAGCUCUAUUACCCGGGAUGAUAAUGACAGUACCGGGAGAAUAAGCUCCGGCUAACUCCGUG
rnacentral:rRNA from 1 species